rnacentral:rRNA from 1 species
GACGAACGCUGGCGGCGUGCUUAACACAUGCAAGUCGAACGGAAAGGCCCUGCUUGCAGGGUACUCGAGUGGCGAACGGGUGAGUAACACGUGGGUGAUCUGCCCUGCACUUCGGGAUAAGCCUGGGAAACUGGGUCUAAUACCGGAUAGGAGCCAUUUUUAGUGUGAUGGUUGGAAAGUUUUUUCGGUGUAGGAUGAGCUCGCGGCCUAUCAGCUUGUUGGUGGGGUAAUGGCCCACCAAGGCGGCGACGGGUAGCCGGCCUGUGAGGGUGGACGGCCACAUUGGGACUGAGAGACGGCCCAGACUCCUACGGGAGGCAGCAGUGGGGAAUAUUGCACAAUGGGCGCAAGCCUGAUGCAGCGACGCCGCGUGGGGGAUGACGGCCUUCGGGUUGGAAACUCCUUUCGCUAGGGACGAAGCUUUUUGUGACGGUACCUAGAUAAGAAGCACCGGCUAACUACGUG